CCUACGGGGGGCAGCAGUGAGGAAUAUUGGUCAAUGGACGAGAGUCUGAACCAGCCAAGUAGCGUGAAGGAUGACUGCCCUAUGGGUUGUAAACUUCUUUUAUAUGGGAAUAAAACGUUCCACGUGUGGGAUUUUGUAUGUACCAUAUGAAUAAGGAUCGGCUAACUCCGUGCCAGCAGCCGCGGUAAUACGGAGGAUCCGAGUGUUAUCCGGAUUUAUUGGGUUUAAAGGGAGCGUAGGUGGAUUGUUAAGUCAGUUGUGAAAGUUUGCGGCUCAACCGUAAAAUUGCAGUUGAAACUGGCAGUCUUGAGUACAGUAGAGGUGGGCGGAAUUCGUGGUGUAGCGGUGAAAUGCUUAGAUAUCACGAAGAACUCCGAUUGCGAAGGCAGUUCACUGGACUGCAACUGACACUGAGGCUCGAAAGUGUGGGUAUCAAACAGGAUUAGAUACCCGAGUAGUC
rnacentral:rRNA from 1 species